rnacentral:rRNA from 1 species
AAUAGAUACCCAGGUAGUCCACGCCGUAAACGAUGAGUGCUAAGUGUUAGAGGGUUUCCGCCCUUUAGUGCUGCAGCUAACGCAUUAAGCACUCCGCCUGGGGAGUACGGCCGCAAGGCUGAAACUCAAAGGAAUUGACGGGGGCCCGCACAAGCGGUGGAGCAUGUGGUUUAAUUCGAAGCAACGCGAAGAACCUUACCAGGUCUUGACAUCCUCUGCCAACCCUAGAGAUAGGGCGUUCCCCUUCGGGGGACAGAGUGACAGGUGGUGCAUGGUUGUCGUCAGCUCGUGUCGUGAGAUGUUGGGUUAAGUCCCGCAACGAGCGCAACCCUUGAUCUUAGUUGCCAGCAUUCAGUUGGGCACUCUAAGGUGACUACCGGUGACAAACCGGAGGAAGGUGGGGAUGACGUCAAAUCAUCAUGCCCCUUAUGACCUGGGCUACACACGUGCUACAAUGGAUGGUACAAAGAGCUGCGAACCCGCGAGGGUAAGCCAAUCUCAUAAAGCCAUUCUCAGUUCGGAUUGUAGG